rnacentral:lncRNA from 1 species
GGCUUCAAAUUGACGCGCUUGGAUUUGGAGAUGGGGUCGUGUGCGCGCAGGAAUCGAGUGGAGGCUCGCGCGGACUCGGGACGUGUUCUGCGCGUGGAAACCGGAGGCAGUUGUGGAACAUGGAGGAAGGAGAUGACGGGCGGGGCCCACUGUCAGUGGCCGCGAGCGGCUCGCGCGCGGGCGGAGCCGGUCGGUCCGGUCCGGUUCGGUCGGGUCGGUCCGGUUCGGCCGGUUUUCUUUUGGUUUUUCUUUCUGUUUUUUCUUUUUUCUGUUUUCAAACCUCAAAAUUGAUCCGAAGCUCCAAAUCACUCCAAAUAAAUUGCAACAAAAUUUUUAAAAUCAUAUUUUCAUAUGAUCUAACUUUUGGAACAAGAAUUUCCUCAAAAUAAAAUAUUUAAAAAUACAUUUGCCUAUAAAAUGGCUUUUGGGGCCCUUAGGCUAUGAAAAUAAUUUCAAACGCAAAUUUAUGGGAUAGCUUUAUAUAUGCAUUAAAUCCCUUUUUAUACCAACACCCUCAUGGGUUGAAACACAAAAUGCUU